rnacentral:lncRNA from 1 species
GAUAGUGUUACAGCUGUGUGCUAAUAGGGAACUAGAUGCCCUGUUCUCUCUAUUUGGUAGGGGAAGGUAAGGAAAGGGCUCUUCCUGGCAGACAGAAACUCAUUCAUAGGUUUCAGGAGACUGCUGCGUGGUUUCUCUGUGGCUUUGGAGGCUGUCCUGGAACUAGCUCUUGUAGACCAGGCUGGUCUUGAACUCUUAUUCCAGGGAACUUAUUAUGGAGGCCUGUGCCUCACCAAGGCCCUGGCUAACUUCCCAGAAGACUGCUGCACAGCUCUUGGAGAGACCCCUACACAAUAGUGCCC